GUUUCGGUAGCUCAGUGGCAGAGCGUGGGAUUGCAAAUCCCGAGGUCGUGGGUUCAAUCCCCACCCGGAACU
rnacentral:tRNA from 1 species